GUCAGUCAAGGAGUUGUUCUUUCAUCUAUGGAUAUCAGCGCAUGAAUUAGAAGAUUAAGGAAAAAGAGGCUGGAUGCUUUACAUCUGUUCUCCGUACAUAUCCCAUACUUCCGAGGGUUGGCUCCACCGUGAGCAGGUUUGGUGCUGUGGCACGGGGGAGGUCCGGCUCGGCGCCCCGCCCGCUCCCCCUGCUUGCGCGGCGCCUGCCAGCGUCCCGCCCGCCUCCCCCGUGCCCCCACAGUAGCGCGGGACGACCCGGGCUCCGGCCGAAGGCACGCCGGAGGGGUGGUGCUGCCGGAGGGGUGGUGCUGCCGCCCGGUCCCGGCUGGCUGCGGGGCGCAGGCCCGAGGCAGUGCCGGGAUCCCCUCGCCCCCCCCCUUUCUCCGGUCCCGGCCCACCCGCUUCUCCCGAAGCAGCCGAACGGGGCCGCCCGCGCGCGCCGCGCUGUGCGCUCUGAGCCCUCCGGCGCUGGAAAUGAAGGCGGGGGGCGCGGCGGUGGUGGCGGCCUGAGGGUCGGCGGGGUGCGGGACCGGGAGGGAGCUGAGCCUUGUAUGUAGGAGCGUCUGCGGGCGGUUCCUGUAUCUGCACCAGGAUGGCCGAGUGGUGAAGGCGUUGGACUUAAGAUCCAAUGGGCGUAUGUCCGCGUGGGUUCGAACCCCACUCCUGGUAAAUGAACAUUUUUUUUCGGGAGCGCCGCGAAUUUGUCGGGGAAGACGCGGGCCGAGGCGGAAGCGUGACCCGGGCUGCGAGCAGCGGGCUGUGCCCGGCACUCGGCGCCGGUAGCGGCCUGAGGGAGCUGAACGCACUGCUGAGGCCUCCUGUAACUUCAGCGUAAAGUUGGUCUCGAUGCUUAUUGGUGUAAUUCUUUAUUUUUACUUCCUUUAUUUACUCAGCUUUCGGGACGGCGUUUUGUUUUGACAGGAAAGUAUCGCUGCAUUCCGGGGUUUGGAAGGGUGGGGGGGGGGCACACAGUGAAGUGUGUUUGUCACAGUGCCCGUGUCAGAUUAAUACAUUGAAGUAUUGGUGUCCACAGCCACCCUGCUGCUGUAAUUGCAGCUGAAAAGAUGGUUCUGAGCUCUCAGUCGCAAUGUAUCGCCCCACACAGAGGCUGGCACAGUGUCUUUUUUGACUGUUUACCUAUUGAACUGUUCCUGCCAUUAAGUUCUAAAUGCAAAACAGCGCCUUCUAGAACUGCUCGUUUAAAAGCAGUACCUUGGAUUGUUUCAUUAAGUAAACUGACAUUCCUGUUUGCUCAGGAACAAAGUAGUAAAAAUGGGCCUGUAUUUGAAUGCAUGUUUUACUUUUAACGUUGUGAUGGAUUAUGGCCGCCCUUGAAAACCCACAUGUUUGCAUGCCAGUGGGGUAAUUCUGCCUGUGCCCUUAUGUGUAGGCCUGCUUGUGCAAACAACAAACACUCAUGUAACUGUUGCAGAUGCAGCACUUGUGGUGAUGAAAAGUCCCUGCUAUGUCAGCUACAGGAUGGGUUGGUGACCACUAUUCAGCAUUAAAAGAAUGGAAAAAUGAAAAGUAAAAGUAAUUGCAGGUUGUUUGGUUUUUGUUUUUUUUUUUUUUUCACUGACAAAAAGCCAACAGUCUUCAUGUUAAACAGAUAAACAACAGUUUUCAUGUUAAAGAUAUAUAAGACCCAGAGUUCCAGGCUGCAAAUUCCACUCUAGGCCCAGUCCUUCCUGUAAGAGAUUUCUUUUGCAGGGAGCUUCACUUGGUCUUAUGAUGAAGCUGUGUUCCCUGCUUUCUGCCAUGACUUGCUGGAGCGUGUGCCAUUCUGGGGUUCUUCACCAUUUCCUACUCUUGUGAAAUAACCAUAAAAUCCACUGGCAGCAAAUAUGUCCCAUCCCCAUCCUUCAUGUUUCCACAUAGAAAAGGAUCAUCUUAUUUAUUGUCUUCUAUUGUAAGUGAAGUUUUCCACUGCAUAAUGUAGAGAUAAGAAGGAUUAACCAUCUACAAAAUGGUUUGCUCUGAAUUAUGUUCAUUUUUUUUUGUGAAGAGAGUUCAGAUACUUCGAUAAUCCAGUCAUGUUAGAAAAGCCCAUGAAUAGAAUAUCAGUUAAUUCAGAAAAUAACAUGAAAUAAAUAAGGCUUGGAGCCACGCUUUGAGCUGUGAAAGUCUUGUGAAGUAUGGAAAAACUGGUUAACCAGCAAGCUCAACGUGAUGUGUGCUGAACAAUGUGGGAUUCUUACAGGGAAACAGCAAGGCGUAAUUGAAGUGAAAAUUAUUUCUCACUUCAUAAUCAGGAGACCAAAUCAGUAAGGAGGCAGCCUGCUGGUGAAAUACUGUUUGAGACUGUUCUGUUUCAAAAAUGUUGAGCAGCUCUCACUUCCUUCAGUUACAUUUAGGAGUGUAUCUUUUGUUACUUUACUUAAACCCUUUUCUGUCAUUCCAGGUGACCAGUACCUCAAGUUGAGGAAGAGGAUAUAAGAAAGCUAUGAAGUUCUUGAUCUGCUGUAUAAUGCUGUAUAAGGUGUACUAAUGUGCCUUUUUCUGGGAUUUUUAAUUGCAUUAAAAUAAUCCGAAUAAAUUGAUUCUUUUUCCCUGUCAGAGAGGAGCUUUUGUCUGAAGAUCACGGAAAACUUACACAUGGUAGCAGUGGUGAUCUUACACGUGCAAUUAGAAAAAUGCCUUCAUGUCCCUGAUGAUUUUAGGAAGGGAAUGUGCUCAUCAGGUUUCUUCAUUUUCCUCAGUUGUAUUUCCUUCACUGUCUGUGCCUGACCAUGGCCCCCUUUCUGGGUUGGAAGUGCUUCAGGCUCUUUCCUUCUGACCUCAUUAGCCUCAGCUUUUUCUGAGUGUUGGCUAAAGUUGUUCAUGCAGUUUUUGGCCAGAGAAUACUCCCUGAAUGUGUGAUUUGAUGAGUUUCUAACACCUGACUUUUGCUUUCUCAUUGUUUGUUGCAAACUUGCAUAGGAGUGGUGCCGCUGGUGGGAAGUGUAGUUUGCAUUAGAGAGCUCUGUUUUCUGGCUAAAUCCAUAUUUAAUGAUUGCCAGGCAUAUGUUUCACGUGUCCAGUUUUAUAUCUGUUGCUGUUUUCUGUCACGCCCCCACUGAUAGCUUUUUAUGAGCGCAUCAAGAAGCAGAUCAGCUGGUCUACCAGCUAGCUGCUGCUGCUGAAUGAGGCAAAGAUGCUGUCUCUCCCCUGCCUUAGCUGUACUCUAACUCCUCACUGUUUCCCUCAGUCUUCUAUUGUCUGUUUCCCAUUGCUUGGAUUUAAAAUUAACUGCUGACAUUGCCUGCAAUUCCUUAUUUCUUCACAGGGAAGUUCUUAAAAUUAGAUAAUUUCUUGUGUUUUGGGCUCCUAAGCAGGGUCAGUAUGUAUCAAUUAGUUGUUUUUCUUCCUCACAGGAUGGCGAGGGCUGGAAAGCCACCAUGGAGCUCCCGUAGUCCAGCUCUCAGCUUUGAGCACUGUAACAAUGCAAGAUAUUUCUAUGCCGAUUAACAAAUCCUAUGGUGUUCUAUGGAAAACAUACCUAACCUGUUGUACUGCAUUCAUGCUGAUGAACUGCCCCAAAAGACACUUGUCACAUCAGUAAAAAAGAGAUACUGAAAGCAAACAAAACCUCAGAGAUAAUAUCUCUGGAGGGAGACGUUUGGAGCUAACCAAGGAGUUACUGACUGCUGUUUAUCUGUAAACCAGUACUUCUGGUUGCGUAUUUCCGAAUCAGCAUCCCUGACCACCGCUAUAUAUACAGGUACCUGCUCUGGUCCAUAUGCGUAAGUCAUUGCUUUGCCUAGAAAGAAAACACUGUAUUUUUUUCCAGCAGCUUAUUUUUGUAGCCAUUUGUUCAAUUUAAAGACUUAUUUCAUUCAUAUCAAUAUCCAUGUAAAAAUAUAGCUCAGUUAAUUCUUAACUAGAUAGCUGACUUCCCACAGGGAGGUACUCGCGUGAGUCACUUUUGAGGAUGUACUCUAUUAGCUCUGUUACUGCAGCCAGUGUUUAUGGAUAUAAAUUCAAGAACGCUAAUCCUGUGCCAGUUUAUGUAAGCAUAUUGUUUAUCACUGAAGUUUUGGACAGACACAGAAGCCUGUUUAUAUAAUGAAAACUGUGGUGUCGGCACAAUAGUUAUAUUCUUAAAAUUACUGUGCCUCAACAUCACCUCCCUCUAUUGAUCUUCAAACCAGCACAAAAUGAAAUUGAAAAUGUAAGCAGCUCCAGCAAAAUUCCAUUAUGGGCCUUAAAGAAUAUAGGGUUUGGCAGAGUUGCUGUGCAAAAGCAGGAUUACAGUGUUUUCCCUAUCUCAUAGGAAUUUUUAAGAGGCAUUAUAGUAUUAGGAGAUGCAACGAGACAAAUCUAUAUAAAAAAACAAGAAAUCAUGCCUAAGCAGUUUUAGCCUCUGCAGAAAGAAAGAGUCAUAGGUUAUAAGCUCUUUGGAAAGCCCUUCUCCCAUACCACCAGGUCAUUUAAAUAAUGAAUUCUUGGGAAUUUGUAGAGUUGCGAAGACUAGACUGGCUGUAACUUUGUGUAAGGGAGAAAUGAAAUACAACUAUUAAUCCUGAGUGUUUGAAAAAUAAAGGCCCUGUUAACAUUAACAAGGUUGAGCUGGAUGACUUUUGGAAAAAAGCACUUGGAUUCUUUCCUUUGUGCUUUAAACAGAAGCCCUGAUGCAUUUCAGGUGACUGUUUGCAGGACAGGUCAGGCUCUGAACAUGCAAACAAAUUCAUCUUCUGUUCCACUUGUCUUUCAGUUCUUGGUUUAUCCUUUAUGAUAUGUGGUACUAACUCCCAGAUUUAGUCUGUGGGUUCAAACAGUUCCUGAAAGGGAUGAAGUGCCUUGCAGGCAGCAGUGCUACCCCUUUCACAGAUACUGGCAUUUCUGAUACAGAAAGGCCAGAAGAGCUGGUCAGGGGCCAGCAGGCUGGGUGAUGUGACUCCUCACUUACAUGCCUGUAUGGCUCAAUUACUGAACCAUUGCACUGUUUCUCUGUUAGGUGGCAGAAGUGUGUUUCUCUCAGGGUUUUGAGGAAGAAAACAAAUUCCGUGGCUUAGCUACCAUGUCUGAGGUUUUCAGAUCAACUGUUUUCCCAGAGGAAUGUCUGUUCCUGGCAUGUAGCCCUCUUUGAUCAUAUCAAAGACCAUCUCACUCAUUGAGCGUUGGUGGCUUCUGAUAGAUGACUGACCGCCACUCCCAUCAGAAUGAAGGCACAGUGGUUCAGUUGAUCCUGCCUCCUAGUUUCUUCUUCCCGUGCCAUAAUUCACCGAAGGAAGUUUGUCUUCUGUGCAAGCUGAGGCAGGUGGUGGUAGGGUUCAUGGAAGCAAGUGCAUGCACAGCGGGUGUUUUGAUGUGGUUUGUGAUGCCUACCUGCAUCCAGUUCUCAUGCCAAAUGCACGUGACAAAGCUGUCAAGAUCAAGUGCUGUUUUUGUGUAUAUACUCUGUAACUUAGUCAAAUGCUGCGUUUAGAGAGAGAACUUUUCAGGUCUCCUGACUAAAUACCCAUAGAUGGCAUCUUAAGAACAGGUACACAGCUGCUCAUUUAACUUCAUAGUUAAUGUAUGAUAUAGCUACUGUAAGAAACACCCUUCUUGCAUGUGUUUCUUUAUAAAAAGCUUGAUUCCAUAUCCUCAAACAUGGCCUCACAUUUGUAUAACUUCCUGAGUCAUUCAGAGUUGCAACAUGCUUAUGUGUUUGUUACCGCAAGUGUGCCGCAGGUAAUGGUGUUGAAUGCUGAAGUUCUGCUACUUCCACUUCAGAUCAGAGAGAUCAAAGGUCUGGUGUUUUAAGCGAUUUGGCACUUCUAGAUAAAACACGGUGCAUUCCACGCACGUCCAGACUCUAAAGAUAAGAAGGGAGGAAUAGAGUAAAAAUCCUAAUAGCUCCUUGGAAAGGAUUGUCGGAAUGUACUGUGCAUCGUAGUUGUUUUCAUCCUUCAGUUUACCUUUAUUUGUGUUUUCUACUUGUUACAAAGCUUUCUUUGGCUUUUAUUUUGGUUUUUAAUUGAUGAUGUGAACAUUUGAUGCAUGCCGUGUGAAGAUUUUGUCAUUUAAACAAUUGCUUCUCAGCAUUUCAGUUGUUCGGGUAGAUUCCUAUAAACGAUUAAAGCUUUUGGGACUUCCAACUGAUGUUAUUUUAACAUAUGGUAACAGUAUUUGAUAAUUUCCUCUGGGAAUCCCACCCACUGUGUUAGCUGCAAACAGCCAUAUGAAGAAUGCUGUUCUCAUGUUUUAAACUCUUGUAAUGCUGUCCCACCCAGUGUAACCUCAAUUUGAGAAUGACUUCUAAUCCACGAAGUGAGUAGUGGAGCUGUAUGUUACCAUCUCUCUGAUAGAAAGGUAUUUCUUCCAAUUAAGUUAGCACAGAGAUUCCUCAGUUUUACUCUUAAUAAAAAUACAGUCAUGUUAAAAAAAGAAAUAAAAAAGGCAAGUGUUCUAUCUGUUUCAUUAAAGAAAUACACCACUGAGUUGCCUUGA